GGGUGCGCAGGAGUCCCCACCCCUCCCCCGCGUGAUGGUGGAGGAACAGAGAGCGCGCAUCCCCUCUAAGUGCUGGCGCCACCUUUAAGUCCGACGCAGGGAACGGGGAAAAACAGCAUUGGACUUCUUGCUUGGUCGUGGUCCGCUCCGCCCUAGCACCAGGACUAAGCCUGGGGAGUGUUCCAAACAGUGUCCCAGCGGGAGGCCCCGCCUCGCCUGGCAAGGGCCUCGCGGCCGCUCGGAAUCUCCCUGAGGGCAGCGUCCUGCUCGGACUUUUGGGGACUGAAGCGCCUACCGUGGCCUCGGCCAGGCACUCGGGUCUUUGAGGCAGCCGCUCUGGGAGCUCCAGAGCGAGGGCGAGGCCAGGAGUUUGAGACUGAGGCCUUGACCCCGAAAACACCCUUCCUCGUCCUGAUGCCAGCAGCUUGCAGCCCGUUAAUGCUGGAGCGGGAGGCAAGAAUGUCACCUUCUCCCGGUGUUUGCCCAGAUCCAAUCAGGACUUCAAUUUCCUGGAACUGUUUCCUGGACAGUCUCUGCUCCACCAUUUGAAAAGAACUUCAAAGGACUAAUAUUAACCCAUACUGGGUUCAGGAGAGGGAUAACUCUACUUUCUACCUCCUCACUUCCCAGCGGGGCUCAGUGCUCACAGAUGGAGCAGACGUUUUGAAGAGCGUGAGAAUGAAGACAAAUGAGAAAGCCAGAAGGAUCUCUGGUCCCUGAAGGCAUCGUGAAGCUGCUAUUCCACCCUACUCUACCUACCUCCAGAUUUCUUGCUAUGAGGAAAGAUAAAAGCUAUUUAGUUGAACUAGUAUGGGGGAGAGGUGCCCUCCUGACCUAAGUUUCUGAUUCUACAGCUUGGGGCAGGGCCCUGAAGCCUGCAUCUUUAGGACUGGCUUCAAGUGAUUCUCAUGCUGGUAACCCAAGAAUCAUCCUCAAGGAACUCUUCUUUGGCAUGUGUAAAUAGGAGAUUUCCUGAUAACUGGACUGCAAGGGUAGCAAUUGAAGUAAUAAGUUACUAGGAGUAUAUAGAUGCUUACAAAUGACAGGGCGCCUAGGUGGUUCAGUUGGUUAAGCGCCUGACUCUUGAUUUUGGCUCAGGUCAUGGUCUCAGGGUCGUGGACUUGAGCCCUGUCUCCAGCUCCAUACUCAGCCUGGAAACUGGUUGUCCCUCUCCCUCUGCUCCCCAAACUCUUGCUCUGCAAUCCACACGUUCCCGAGCACUAGGUCAAUGCACCCCCCCAUACGAAGGUACACAAAAUAACAGUUGAGUAAAUGCACAAAUGAAUAAGUGAGCAGUGUUGAAGAUAGUCUUUAUUUCACAGAAGAUUGUAGGUAUUUGUUUCCUAGGACUGUCAGAACAAAUUGUCACAAACUUGGUGACUUAAAACAAUAGAGAUAUAUUUUGUCAUAGUUCCGGAGGCUGGCGGUCUAAAUCAAGCUGGGCCACGCUCCCCUGGAAGGCUGUAAGGAAGAAUCCUUCCUCUUCUCCUAGCUUCUGAUGGCUCCAGCAAACCCUGGUGUUCCUUGGGCUAUAGCCCCUUCCCUCCAGUCUUUCACUCCAUCAUCACAUGACCUUCCCCUCUGUGUGUGUCUUGUGUCCUCUUCUCUUCUUAGAAGGACACCAGUCAUUGGAUUGAGCACCCACCUUGGUCCGCUAUAACCUAACCUUUAACUAAUUACACCUGCUAAGACUUUAUUCCCAAAUGAGGUUACCUUCAGGUAAAUGUGAAUCUGAGGGAGGACACUAUUCAGACCACUACAUUUUGUUUGCAGGACAUUCUUCGGAAUGCCUGAAAAAAAAAAAGUUUGUUUGUUUGUUUGUUUGUUUUUUGCCAAUACAUCUUUAACAGUUCAUAGGAUUUGUAACUUAAUUGUAUUUGCCAAAACAUAACCCGGAGAACUAAAAGAAAUUUGGGUGUGGUCAUAUAACCAAUAUCAAUUAUGGUUGAAGUAUCCUGGAAUACGAAGGGCAGCCAAAAAAACAGGAAUAGGAAAAUGCCCAAAUUUUUAUAAAAAAAAUAAAGACAAAUCCAGGAACUGA